rnacentral:rRNA from 1 species
UAACCUGCCUGUAAGACUGGGAUAACUCCGGGAAACCGGGGCUAAUACCGGAUGCUUGAUUGAACCGCAUGGUUCAAUCAUAAAAGGUGGCUUUUAGCUACCACUUGCAGAUGGACCCGCGGCGCAUUAGCUAGUUGGUGAGGUAACGGCUCACCAAGGCGACGAUGCGUAGCCGACCUGAGAGGGUGAUCGGCCACACUGGGACUGAGACACGGCCCAGACUCCUACGGGAGGCAGCAGUAGGGAAUCUUCCGCAAUGGACGAAAGUCUGACGGAGCAACGCCGCGUGAGUGAUGAAGGUUUUCGGAUCGUAAAACUCUGUUGUUAGGGAAGAACAAGUACCGUUCGAAUAGGGCGGCACCUUGACGGUACCUAACCAGAAAGCCACGGCUAACUACGUGCCAGCAGCCGCGGUAAUACGUAGGUGGCAAGCGUUGUCCGGAAUUAUUGGGCGUAAAGCGCGCGCAGGCGGUUUCUUAAGUCUGAUGUGAAAGCCCCCGGCUCAACCGGGGAGGGUCAUUGGAAACUGGGGAACUUGAGUGCAGAAGAGGAGAGUGGAAUUCCACGUGUAGCGGUGAAAUGCGUAGAGAUGUGGAGGAACACCAGUGGCGAAGGCGACUCUCUGGUCUGUAACUGACGCUGAGGCGCGAAAGCGUGGGGAGCGAACAGGAUUAGAUACCCUGGUAGUCCACGCCGUAAACGAUGAGUGCUAAGUGUUAGAGGGUUUCCGCCCUUUAGUGCUGCAGCAAACGCAUUAAGCACUCCGCCUGGGGAGUACGGUCGCAAGACUGAAACUCAAAGGAAUUGAC